UUGAACGCUGGCGGCAGGCCUAACACAUGCAAGUCGAGCGGAUGAAGGGAGCUUGCUCCUGGAUUCAGCGGCGGACGGGUGAGUAAUGCCUAGGAAUCUGCCUGGUAGUGGGGGAUAACGUCCGGAAACGGGCGCUAAUACCGCAUACGUCCUGAGGGAGAAAGUGGGGGAUCUUCGGACCUCACGCUAUCAGAUGAGCCUAGGUCGGAUUAGCUAGUUGGUGGGGUAAAGGCCUACCAAGGCGACGAUCCGUAACUGGUCUGAGAGGAUGAUCAGUCACACUGGAACUGAGACACGGUCCAGACUCCUACGGGAGGCAGCAGUGGGGAAUAUUGGACAACGGGCGAAAGCCUGAUCCAGCCAUGCCGCGUGUGUGAAGAAGGUCUUCGGAUUGUAAAGCACUUUAAGUUGGGAGGAAGGGCAGUAAGUUAAUACCUUGCUGUUUUGACGUUACCAACAGAAUAAGCACCGGCUAACUUCGUG
rnacentral:rRNA from 1 species